rnacentral:lncRNA from 1 species
GUCAAGCCCAGCAGAAGAGAUAAAGGUAUUAGACUGGUCUGUAAAUUUCAAUGCCUAAAAAUAUCCACCAAGCUGUAGAUCUUCCCAAGAUAUUUUUCAGGAACGAAGCAUGUAAACUUACAUGAGUGAAAGACAGUGGUAAAAAAAAAAAAAAACAGUCUAUUUUGGGCUUUGGCUCCUACCUAAAUCUAGCUUGUUCAAUAAACCUGUUCAUUAAGUUUUAUGU